ACAUGUUACAGGUCUUUCAGAAUUUGUCUAGUAUGUUUUCCAGUUCUUACUAGAAGAUUCCA
rnacentral:snRNA from 1 species